rnacentral:lncRNA from 1 species
UGGGUGAACUAUGGGGCAUUUGCCCGGAGUUCAUGCUCAGCAUCAGGGUCAAAGCAAAGGGAACUCUGACAAUGAUUCCAUUGUGAACUUGUUCUGGGAAUGCCAUGAUGAUUCUCUAUCAUGUUCCUCGUACACUGCACCAGCACCACUGCUUCCCUUCCCAGUGAGAACCCGAUCAAGCUUUAUCAUGCAGCCCAGAAGGGUGGGGGAAAGAAAAAGAAUUAGGAGAAAAUGUUGUAAAAGUAAUGAGAUAAUAUGAGAAUGUGCUUUGGGAACUGCGAAUCUGGAGUCACUGGUCCAUGAGGAAUCUAGGAUAAGAAGAAGGAAGCUGUGAAGAAUGGUUGGCUAACAGUGCUGGCAAGGAAUUCAGAUCAACAUACCUCUCAAAAGAAUGGAAGUCUCUUAAACUCAGACAGAAUAAAGGAGGCACAGAGAAGUUAUACAAAUUGUCCUGGCACAAAAAACUGAUAAGACUUAAGCCCAGGAGUACUGGCCCAAGAAGAUAUUAGACUAUGGAAAUGAUGUUGGAGAAAAAGCAAAUUUGAGCGAUUUUCUUAUUUGAGUUCAAAAUGGGUCUUAAAGCAGUGGGGACAACUGGCAACAUAACAAUGCAUUUGGCCUGGGAACUGCUAACCAACUCUUAGUUCAAUGGCGGUUCAAGAAGUUUUGCAAAGGAGACAAUAGCCUUGAAGAUAAGGAGCAUAGUGGCCGGCCAUCAGAAGUUGACAACGACCAAUUGAGAGCAAUAUUUGAAGCUGAUCCUCUUACAACUACACGAGAAGUUGCCAAAGAACUCAGUGUCGACCUUCCUAUGGUUGUUCGGCAUUUGAAGCAAAUUGGAAAGGUGAGAAAGCUCCAUACAUGGGUGCUGCAUGAGCUGAGUGAGAAGAAAAAAAUCGUCAUUUUGAAGUUUUGUCUUCUCUUGUUCUUCACAACGGUGAACUAUCUCAUGAUUGGAUUGUGACGUACGAUGAAAAGUAGAUUUUAUAUGACAAUGGGCAAUGACCAGCUCAGUGGUUGGACUGAGAAGACACUCCAAAGCACUUCCAAAAGCCAAAUUUGCACCACAAAAAAAGGUCAUGAUCACUGUUGGGUGGUCUGCUGCCACUCCGAUCCACUACAGCUUUCUGAAUCCUGGCAAAACCAUUACAUCUGAGAAGUAUGCUCAGCAAAUAGAUGAGAUGCACUGAAAACUGCAAUGCCUGCAGCUGGCAUUGGUCAACAGAAAGGGUCCAAUUCUUCUCCCAACCGCGUGUUGCAAAACUAAUGCUUCAAAAGUUGAACGAAGUUUUGCCUCAUCUGCCAUAUUUGCCUGAUCUCUCACCAACUGAUCACCACUUUUUUAAGCAUCUCGACAGCACAACUUUUUGCAGGGAAAAUGCUUCCACAACCAGCAGGAUGCAGAAAAUGCUUUCCAAGGGUUCAUUUAAUCCUGAACCAUAGAUUGUUAGCUACAGGAAUAAACAAACUUAUUUCUCACUGGCAAAAAUUUGUUGAUUAUAAUGGUUCCUAUUUUGAUUAAUAAAGAUGUGUUUGAGCCUAGUUAUAAUGAUUUAAAAUUCACGGUCUGAAACCGCAAUUACUUUUGCACUAGCCUAAUAAGUAAGUGUGUACUUGUGUGUGUGUGUGUAUUUAAUAUAUAUUUGUAUAUAUAACUCAUAGUGUGUGUGUUUGUGUAGUUUCCCUAUUGGUGUCUUUCCUAAUCUAGUGAAACCUUGCCUGUGUUCCCCUCCAACUAUGGCCCAACUUCUUAUUAUCUGUUUACAAAACUUGGAGAACUGCACUGGCUAUAGCUAAUUUUCUUACCUCACAUGUUUAUUCCAGCCCACUGGAAACUUUAUUUAUUUCUCACGUUGUAUUAACAUAGUUCUCUAUAAGACCACCAACAGCCUUCCAGAUGCCGUGAAGACUUUUAAGACAUUGUACUAUUGGAGCUCUUUGUAGCUUUUAAAACAGUAACUUCUUUCAAGAUAUUCUCUACCAUUUAGUUUCUAUAUUGCUGAGCACCCUUGUUUCUUUUUGUAUUUUUAUAAUACUUCUUCCUCUAUCUGCUUAAUACUUUCUUCCACUUGGGACCCUUAACAUUGAUAUUCUCCAGAUUUUCAUUCUCAUCCCAUCAUUUUUCUCACUUUACACAUUUUCCAAGUCUAACAUCAUCAUUUUUGAAGUUUUUGUCUAUCGCCUUUAUGUGAUAAUUCUUCAGCCUGUACUUUCCAAAACUGGACAUAAGUCUAUUCAGACUUUUAUAUCCACCUGUCAACUGCAUGUGUUCUGAAUGGCUGAUAAGCACCUUAAAUUUAACAUGUGUAAAGCUCAACUCAUUAUCUUUUUCCCAAAACUUGCUUUUUCUUCUGUGUACUUUAUCUCAGUUAAUAGUACCAUGCUCCAUCCUUCACUAGCUAGAAUAUUAGUAUCAUUUUCAUUUUCUCACUUUCCCAUCCCCACAUGGCAUUAGUUUUCAAGACCUUCUUAUUUUAUUUCCUAAAUAUUACCCAAGUCUUGUAUAAAUGAUGACACUUUAGGUUCUAAGUAACUGAAACAAAACUCAGCUUCAAUUUCUCUUAGGCAAAAGGGAAACUAUAGGCUUAUGUCACCUUGAUUGGGGGAAAUAUAAUUGGGAGAGAAGGGAAUUAAUGCUAUCAGGUGUCUCUUAAUUUCUCAGUCUCUCUCAUAUUACCCCCACACUGUUUUCUGCCUUUCUCUGUGUGUUGGCUGUAUAUCCUUCCUGGAAAUUGCAGAGUUACAGCUUCAUAUAGAGAUGAAAGGGUCCUUCUUCUUUUAAUGCCAAUCCUAGAACUGAUUUUUAUUGACCCAUCUAGUGUUAUGUCUCCCCUGCUUGGCCCCAGUUAGUGUGGUGGGCUGGAGAAUAAGAAGAUAGAAGGAACUGACAGAUUUGAUCCAUCCACAUAGUAGCCCCUGUUAGAACCACACUGUUGGCAUGGUGGAGGGCAAGUAUUUAAUCCCUAAAUGGAGAAGUUGGUUUUAUCAGAAGAAUCAGAGAAAGGGGUGCUGCACAGGAAAUCCUACACGUCCAUUACAAAUUAAUUUCUCCCUCUCUAACCUUAUGCUUCUCUUGUCUUUCUUUUCGCAACUAAAGUACCAUUAGAACUUUCUUUCUUAACUGCCUGAGUCCAAGUCUUUUCCUCUCUAAAUAUAUUAACACAGAGAUCUGAUUUCAUAAAAAUGAAUAAAUAAGAUUUGUGUGUGUGAAAUCAUUACCCAUCUACACAACACUCUUCCAAUGGCUCCAUUCACUUCCUGGUUAAAGUGCAUAUUUCUUCUUCCUCCAAGAAGCCUAGACUCAUACUUAGCAAUUCAACCUGAAGAAGAGCUUUCAUUUCAGGUCCAAUAUUUUACCCUGUAGUAAUAUCAAUAGGUUUUGUUUGUACUGAACACAAUUAAUUUUUCCUUUGUUUCUGCUUCUCAGAUUAGUUUGCCCUUCUGUCUUUCUUCUAUGACUGAUUCCUUACUCUCUCUGCCCAACUCCUAUUCAGUCUUUAAUGUUCAGUUCUUAUAUAAAUCACCCAGGAGAUCUCUCUAAUAGGUGUUGAACUUCCUCAAUAAUUUGUGCAUAUUUGUAUCUUUGCAAACGAAUGCUUAUGUUUUUAUCUUCUCCACUCAAAUGCAAGCUCCUGAGAACAAGAACUAAAUUAAAUUAUCUUGACAUCCCUCAUACAACAACAUUGUCUGGUGAAUGAUAAUCACUCUAGAAAUACCAUGAAAAUGAAGUUAAGAAUGGAAAUACCACAAACUCAAUCAAUCAUAUGAGUUAUUAUUUCUGAGCUACCUGGAAAAAUUCUACUCUAACACAUUUAUAAAUCACAUUUUUUACUUAUGUGAAAC